rnacentral:rRNA from 1 species
GCUCCAUGAUUUAUUAAAUAGCUGCAGUAUUUUGACUGUACAAAGGUAGCAUAAUCAAUAGUUUUUUAAUUGAAAGCUGGAAUGAAGGAUUUGAUAAAGUAAAUAUUGUCUCAAAUUUAGUAAUAUUAAAAUUUUUUUUUUAGUAAAAAUACUAAAGUGUUUUUAAAAGACGAGAAGACCCUAUAGAAUUUUAUAUUAAUUUUUAUUUUAAUUUAAAUUAAAAUAUUUAAAUAAAUUAAUUAUUAUUUGAUUGGGGUAAUUAUUAAAUUAAUAAAAUUUUAAUGUAUAAUAAACAAUAAUUAUUGAUUAUUUGAUCUUUAAUUUUAAGAUUAAAAGAAUAAAUUACCUUAGGGAUAACAGCGUAAUUUUUUUUGAGAGAUCUUAUUGAAAAAAAAGUUUGCGACCUCGAUGUUGAAUUAAGAUGAAAUUUUAAUGUAGGAGUUAAAAGAUUUURGUCUGUUCGACUAUUAAAAUCUUAC